rnacentral:rRNA from 1 species
CCACGGGUGGCAGCAGUGGGGAAUAUUGGACAAUGGGCGAAAGCCUGAUCCAGCCAUGCCGCGUGUGUGAAGAAGGCCUUCGGGUUGUAAAGCACUUUCAGUGGGGAAGAAAGCCUUGGGGCUAAUACCCUCGAGGAAGGACAUCACCCACAGAAGAAGCACCGGCUAACUCCGUGCCAGCAGCCGCGGUAAUACGGAGGGUGCGAGCGUUAAUCGGAAUUACUGGGCGUAAAGCGCGCGUAGGCGGUCUGAUAAGCCGGUUGUGAAAGCCCCGGGCUCAACCUGGGAACGGCAUCCGGAACUGUCAGGCUAGAGUGCAGGAGAGGAAGGUAGAAUUCCCGGUGUAGCGGUGAAAUGCGUAGAGAUCGGGAGGAAUACCAGUGGCGAAGGCGGCCUUCUGGACUGACACUGACGCUGAGGUGCGAAAGCGUGGGUAGCAAACAGGAUUAGAUACCCUAGUAGUC